rfam:Rattus norvegicus chromosome 3, whole genome shotgun sequence.
GGGGAUUUGGCUCAGCGGUAGAGCGCUUGCCUAGCAAGCACAAGGCCCUGGGUUCGGUCCCCAGCUCCG